AACCUCCGCAAUGUGAGAAAUCGCGACGGGGGGGUCCCAAGUGCCAUUCUUAACGGGAUGGCUUUUCAUUAGUGUAAAGAGCUUUUGGAAUAAGGGCUGGGCAAGACCGGUGCCAGCCGCCGCGGUAACACCGGCAGCUCUAGUGGUAGCAGUUUUUAUUGGGCCUAAAGCGUCCGUAGCCGGUUUAAUAAGUCUCUGGUGAAAUCCUGUAGCUUAACUGUGGGAAUUGCUGGAGAUACUAUUAGACUUGAGACCGGGAGAGGUUAGAGGUACUCCCAGGGUAGAGGUGAAAUUCUGUAAUCCUGGGAGGACCGCCUGUUGCGAAGGCGUCUAACUGGAACGGUUCUGACGGUGAGGGACGAAAGUUAGGGGCGCGAACCGGAUUAGAUACCCGGGUAGUCCUAACCGUAAACGAUGCGGACUUGGUGUUGGGGUGGCUUUGAGCUGCUCCAGUGCCGAAGGGAAGCUGUUAAGUCCGCCGCCUGGGAAGUACGGUCGCAAGACUGAAACUUAAAGGAAUU
rnacentral:rRNA from 1 species